rnacentral:rRNA from 1 species
UGCUGGAGGUAUCAGAAGUGCGAAUGCUGACAUAAGUAACGAUAAAGCGGGUGAAAAGCCCGCUCGCCGGAAGACCAAGGGUUCCUGUCCAACGUUAAUCGGGGCAGGGUGAGUCGACCCCUAAGGCGAGGCCGAAAGGCGUAGUCGAUGGGAAACAGGUUAAUAUUCCUGUACUUGGUGUUACUGCGAAGGGGGGACGGAGAAGGCUAUGUUAGCCGGGCGACGGUUGUCCCGGUUUAAGCAUGUAGGCUGGUUAUCCAGGCAAAUCCGGAUAAUCAAGGCUGAGGUGUGAUGACGAGGCACUACGGUGCUGAAGUAACAAAUGCCCUGCUUCCAGGAAAAGCCUCUAAGCAUCAGGUAACAUUAAAUCGUACCCCAAACCGACACAGGUGGUCAGGUAGAGAAUACCAAGGCGCUUGAGAGAACUCGGGUGAAGGAACUAGGCAAAAUGGUGCCGUAACUUCGGGAGAAGGCACGCUGGUGUGUAGGUGAAGUCCCUGCGGAUGGAGCUGAGACCAGUCGAAGAUACCAGCUGGCUGCAACUGUUUAUUAAAAACACAGCACUGUGCAAACACGAAAGUGGACGUAUACGGUGUGACGCCUGCCCGGUGCCGGAAGGUUAAUUGAUGGGGUUAUCCGUAAGGAGAAGCUCUUGAUCGAAGCCCCGGUAAACGGCGGCCGUAACUAUAACGGUCCUAAGGUAGCGAAAUUCCUUGUCGGGUAAGUUCCGACCUGCACGAAUGGCGUAAUGAUGGCCAGGCUGUCUCCACCCGAGACUCAGUGAAAUUGAACUCGCUGUGAAGAUGCAGUGUACCCGCGGCAAGACGGAAAGACCCCGUGAACCUUUACUAUAGCUUGACACUGAACAUUGAGCCUUGAUGUGUAGGAUAGGUGGGAGGCUUUGAAGCGUGGACGCCAGUCUGCGUGGAGCCAACCUUGAAAUACCACCCUUUAAUGUUUGAUGUUCUAACGUUGGCCCCUGACCGGGGUUGCGGACAGUGUCUGGUGGGUAGUUUGACUGGGGCGGUCUCCUCCCAAAGCGUAACGGAGGAGCACGAAGGUUAGCUAAUCCUGGUCGGACAUCAGGAGGUUAGUGCAAUGGCAUAAGCUAGCUUGACUGCGAGCGUGACGGCGCGAGCAGGUGCGAAAGCAGGUCAUAGUGAUCCGGUGGUUCUGAAUGGAAGGGCCAUCGCUCAACGGAUAAAAGGUACUCCGGGGAUAACAGGCUGAUACCGCCCAAGAGUUCAUAUCGACGGCGGUGUUUGGCACCUCGAUGUCGGCUCAUCACAUCCUGGGGCUGAAGUAGGUCCCAAGGGUAUGGCUGUUCGCCAUUUAAAGUGGUACGCGAGCUGGGUUUAGAACGUCGUGAGACAGUUCGGUCCCUAUCUGCCGUGGGCGCUGGAGAAUUGAGGGGGGCUGCUCCUAGUACGAGAGGACCGGAGUGGACGCAUCACUGGUGUUCGGGUUGUCAUGCCAAUGGCACUGCCCGGUAGCUAAAUGCGGAAGAGAUAAGUGCUGAAAGCAUCUAAGCACGAAACUUGCCCCGAGAUGAGUUCUCCCUGAGACUUUAAGUCUCCUGAAGGAACGUUAAAGACGAUGACGUUGAUAGGCCGGGUGUGUAAGCGCAGCGAUGCGUUGAGCUAACCGGUACUAAUGAACCGUGAGGCUUAACCUU